rnacentral:rRNA from 1 species
GACGAACCGUGCAAACGUUAUUCGGAAUCACUGGGCUUAAAGGGCGCGUAGGCGGGCCGCCAGGUCCGGGGUGAAAGCCUCCAGCUCAACUGGAGAAGUGCCUUGGAUACCGGCGGCCUCGAGGGAGGCAGGGGCGUGCGGAACUUCGGGUGGAGCGGUGAAAUGCGUAGAUAUCCGAAGGAACACCGGUGGCGAAAGCGGGUUGCUGGGCCGACACUGACGCUGAGGCGCGAAAGCCAGGGGAGCAAACGGG